UUAGUACUCCCUCCGUCCCAAAAUUCUUGUCUUAGAUUUGUCUAGAUACGGAUGUAUCUAAUACUAAAAUGUGAUUUGAUACAUCCGUAUUUAGACAAAUGUAAGACAAGAAUUUUGGGACAGAGGGAGUAGGUU
rnacentral:pre_miRNA from 1 species